rnacentral:rRNA from 1 species
CGUGGGUAACCUGCCCAAGAGACUGGGAUAACACCUGGAAACAGAUGCUAAUACCGGAUAACAACACUAGACGCAUGUCUAGAGUUUAAAAGAUGGUUCUGCUAUCACUCUUGGAUGGACCUGCGGUGCAUUAGCUAGUUGGUAAGGUAACGGCUUACCAAGGCAAUGAUGCAUAGCCGAGUUGAGAGACUGAUCCCCCACACUGGUACUGAGACACGGACCAGACUCCUACGGAAGGCAGCAG